UACGUAGGGGGCAAGCGUUGUCCGGAUUUAUUGGGCGUAAAGAGCGUGUAGGCGGCUUGACAGGUCUGCUGUGAAAACUCGAGGCUCAACCUCGAGAUGUCGGCGGAAACCGUCUGGCUAGAGUCCGGAAGAGGAGAGUGGAAUUCCUGGUGUAGCGGUGAAAUGCGCAGAUAUCAGGAGGAACACCGGUGGCGAAGGCGGGUCUCUGGGCAGUAACUGACGCUGAGGAGCGAAAGCGUGGGGAGCGAACAGG
rnacentral:rRNA from 1 species